UCAGUAGCUUUUUUGAUAUUUAGGCCUUUCCUCUGACUUUUGAGCUCUUAUACUAGCAAAUUGGAGCAAGGGAAUUAGUACCCAAGCCAAUGCUCAUCCUUUCCAAGUUUAAGGAUUUUUGGUGGUUUUGUAAGCUUUGAUCUAGCAAUCAAGGACAAGGAAAAGAUUUGGUUGAACUCAAUUCCUACAAGCUCCAUUACUACUUGGGAUGAUUUUGCUCAAAAGUUCUUAGCUAAAUUCUUUCCUUUGGCCAAGAGAGUGAAAUUAAGGAAUGAUAUCACAUCAGUCAUGCAACUUGAUUCUGAGUUGUAUGAGGCCUGGGAAAGAUACAGGGAUUUGCUUCGGUGUUGCCCUCAUCAUGGUCUACCUAAGUGGCUUCAAGGAUAGACAUUUUACAAUGGUUUGAAUGGUCAUAUUUAAACUAGUAUUGACACCACUGCUAGAGGAGCUUUUAUGGCAAAGUUUGUUGAUGGGGCUUAUGAUCUGUUGGAAUAAAUGACAUCAAACAACUAUUAAUGGCCAUCAGAGAGAUCAAUGCAUAGAAGGGUAACUGUAACGCAUGAGUUGGAUGCUAUCAUUGCAUUGACUACUCAAGUUGCUAUUCUAACCCAGAAAUUUGAUUCCUUUAGAGUUCAUUUUAUUUAAACACCAUUUAUUACUUGCAAUUAUUUUCGACAUGGGCACUAUAGUGAUCAUUGUCUAAUGAGUUCUGAGUCAGUUUGGUUCAUUACGAAUCAGCAAUAAAACAGCCCAUAUUCCAACACCUAUGAUCCCAAGUUGAGGAAUCAUCCUAACUUUUCUUGGAGUUAUAAACAAGGGUCUUCAUCAACUCUAAGGCUUGAUUUCUUUCUCAAAUUUCCACCUCAAGCAAGACUCCUAUGCAAGAAAAGAAACCAUCUAUAGAAAAGUUGCUUAUGCAGUAUAUGGCUAAGGCUGAUGUUCUCAUUCAUAGUUACGCAGCUUCAUUAAGAAACUUUGAGACAUAAGUUGGUCAGCUUGCUAAUGCCAUCAAUAAUAGGCCUCAAGAAACUUUAUCAAGUGACACUGAAUCUAAUCCUAAAAGAGAAGGUAAGGAGCAUUGUAAUGCAAUCACCCUUAGGAAUAGCAAAGAGGUAAAAGGCAGAAGCAAGCAAACAUAUUCACCAGGUAAGUCUAUUGCCAAGGGAACGGUGGUUGAGAAUUUUGAUGCACAAGCUCAAGGAAAAAAGGCUAAGUCCACCCCACCACCACCAUUUCCUCAUUGACUUUAUAAGCAAAAACUUGACAAGCAGUUUCAAAAGUUUCUUGAGGUAUUCAAAAAGCUCCAGAUUAAUAUCCUUUUUAUUGAAGCUUUGGUAUUGAUGCCAAGAUAUCUCAAGUUCUUUAGAGACAUCCUAACUAAUAAAUGGAAAUUUGAAGAUUUUGAGAUAGUUGCACUUAUUAAAUAGUGUAGUGUUAUAAUUCAAAAUAAGCUUCCACUAAAGC